rnacentral:misc_RNA from 1 species
CAACCCUCAGGCACGGCCUGGUGUUGGGGUUCUGUGGGAGACCACAGCCCCCGAAAGACAGUGGCGGGCUCUGCACGACCUCGAGCGUAGUACAUCUCCUCGCUUAGGGCGUCUGCGGCGACCCAGCCGUCAAAACACGCUGUAACAGCACUAUAA